CCCUUAGAUGUUCUGGGCCGCACGCGCGCUACAAUGAUGAAUUCAACGAGUUUAUAACCUUGGUCGAAAAGCCUGGGUAAUCUUUUGAACUUUCGUCGUGAUGGGGCUAGACCCUUGCAAUUAUUGGUCUCCAACGAGGAAUUCCUAGUAAACGCAAGUCAUCAGCUUGCAUUGAUUACGUCCCUGCCCUUUGUACACACUGCCCGUCGCACCUACCGAUUGAAUGGUCCGGUGAAAUCUUCGGAUUGAGACUUUGAUUUCUUCACGGAAAACGCUGUUUUAAAAAGUUGAUUAAACCUUACCAUUUAGAGGAAGGUGAAGUCGUAACA
rnacentral:rRNA from 1 species